rnacentral:rRNA from 1 species
UACGAAGGGGGCUAGCGUUGUUCGGAAUUACUGGGCGUAAAGCGCGCGCAGGCGGUUUUUCAAGUCAGUGGUGAAAGCCCGGAGCUCAACUCCGGAACUGCCAUUGAAACUGUAAAACUUGAGGAUGAGAGAGGUGAGUGGAAUUCCCAGUGUAGAGGUGAAAUUCGUAGAUAUUGGGAAGAACACCGGUGGCGAAGGCGGCUCACUGGCUCAUUUCUGACGCUCAGGCGCGACAGCGUGGGGAUCAAACAGG